CAUCUGGCUCCAGCUCUAUACAGAUAUGAUAGUGGCAUCAAUACCCUUUCCUAACUCAUGGAAAAUUAAUUAAAACAUAUUUCCCAAAAGGUACACACUAUACAUUUUAGCUUUGCUUGCAAUUUCUUUUCAUGUAAUUUAGUUUUUUGUUUUACAAGAAAUCAAUGAAAUAUGAUGUGCCUAAAAUCUAGUUUAGAUAACAUACUGUUUAUACAAUUAAGCUUUGAUUAAUGUGCUAAUAUCAAUGGGAUAUACUGAUGCUCUGAAAGGCCAAAUAAUGUGAAAGCUGAAACAUAUGAAAUACUAAUGCAAGACUGUCCUCGAGGCAACUAUCUAAAAUGAAUGUGGCCUGACUUCCAGAUCAAUGUGCUCCAGACCCGAAUCGCUGAGCAGCAGAAGUUGUGAGUAACAGUUAAUGAGGAGUGUGAGGCUCCUGGUUGUGUGCUGGAGGGUCAGCAACCGAGUCCUGGGCAGCGGGGAUCAACUGAGCUACACAAACACUGAAGCUGGUUCCUGGUCUGACACAGGGUGCAGGACUCUAUGGUGUGGAUCUUGUGCGACUCCAUUCUUAAUAAUGGAUUUCAAUCAACUUUCUUUGCCUUACUGAACUAUAACUUUUGUCUGACUACAUUUUUUGACUUACUAAGAAAAAACUGAUGGUAUUGUAAAAGACGAUUGAUAUUGUGUGUGUGUCUUUUUGUGUUACUUACAAUUUCAAAAUGUGUUGGUGCUAAUUAGUAAUUCCACCAAACCCCUCUGUCCCCCCACAUGUAAGUAACUCAAGUGGCAAUAAAAUACUUAUAUUUA